rnacentral:tRNA from 1 species
CCUCACAGCUCAGAGGUAAAGAAUCUGCCUGCAAUGCAGAAGACCUGGGUUCGAUCCCUGGGUGGGGA